rnacentral:misc_RNA from 1 species
GAUGAAGAACGUAGCGAAAUGCGAUAAGUAAUGCGAAUUGCAGAAUUUCCGUGAGUCAUCGAAUCUUUGAACGCACAUUGCGCCCAUUGGCAUUCCGGUGGGCAUGCCUGUUCGAGCGUCAUUAUCCUCCCUCAAACCCCGGGUUUGGUGUUGGACCCAAGUUGUGUGAACAACUGGUCUCAAAGACAAUGACGGCGUCCGUGGGACCCUCGGUGCAACGAGCUUUUAGGAGCACGCAUCGAGUUGCAAGGACCUUCCGGGCCGGUCUCCUUUACCAUUUUACAAGGUUGACCUCGGAUCAGGUAGGAAUACCCGCUGAACUUAAGCAUAUCAAUAAGCGGAGGA